AUUGAACGCUGGCGGCAGGCCUAACACAUGCAAGUCGAACGGUAACAGGAAGAAGCUUGCUUCUUUGCUGACGAGUGGCGGACGGGUGAGUAAUGUCCGGGAAACUGCCUGAUGGAGGGGGAUAACUACUGGAAACGGUAGCUAUUACCGCAUAACGUCGCAAGACCAAAGAGGGGGACCUUCUGGCCCCUUGCCAUCGGAUGUGCCCAGAUGGGAUUAGCUAGUAGGUGGGGUAACGGCUCACCUAGGCGACGAUCCCUAGCUGGUCUGAGAGGAUGACCAGCCACACUGGAACUGAGACACGGUCCAGACUCCUACGGGAGGCAGCAGUGGGGAAUAUUGCACAAUGGGCGCAAGCCUGAUGCAGCCAUGCCGCGUGUAUGAAGAAGGCCUUCGGGAUGUAAAGUACUUUCAGCGGGAAGGAAGAGAGUAAAGUUAAUACCUUUGCUCAUUGACGUUACCCGCAGAAGAAGCACCGGCUAACUCCGUG
rnacentral:rRNA from 1 species